CCUACGGGAGGCAGCAGUGGGGAAUAUUGCACAAUGGGGGAAACCCUGAUGCAGCGACGUCGCGUGAGCGAUGACGUCUCUCGGUAUGUUAAGCUCCAUCAGCAGGGAAGAAAAUGACGGUACCUGACUAAGAUGCCCCGGCUAACUACGUGCCAGCAGCCGCGGUAAUACGUAGGGGGCAAGCGUAAUCCGGAUGUACUGGGUGUAAAGGGAGCGUAGACGGCGUAGCAAGCCAGAUGUGAAAGCCCGGGGCUCAACCCCGGGACUGCAGUUGGAACUGUGCUGCUAGAGUGUCGGAGAGGCAGGCGGAAUUCGUAGUGUAGCGGUGAAAUGCGUAGAUAUUAGGAAGAACACCGGUGGCGAAGGCAGCCUGCUGGAGGGUGACUGACGUUGAGGCUCGAAAGCGUGGGGAGCGAACAGGAUUAGAUACCCGUGUAGUC
rnacentral:rRNA from 1 species